UACCAGAAUUAAAAGCCACUAUAAAUCCAGCACACUUAUACCCAACAUUUUUCAAAACCCUAAACACUAUUACAAGAAAAAAUCACUUACCGUAGUCUGGAGGAGCAUCGUCCCUGUUCCGACGACGAAAAGCCAUUUCAUCAACCACUUCUGCUUUCUCAGUCUUCCUCUUCAACUUCUAUGCCGUGUUUUUGGGUUUCCUUUGAUUUUUCGAUAAUGGGUUUGUGGUUCUUACAGUGGUUCGGGUUUGUGUUCCCUUUUAUUUCCAAACAGUGUCUUCGACUUCUCUCGAUUUCGCAAAAAACGGUUUGGGGUUCUAUCCUUACACUGGUUCGUGUUUCAUUUCUCCUCCACCAGCUCUGGUUUCUGGGUUGUGCUUGUUUUUUUUUUUUUUUGAGAUGAAUGUUUCUUCUGGGUUGUUUGUCUUAAGCUUACUUGGUUUGUCGAUUUAUAUUCAUAAAGUUUUUUUUUUUAAAUUUCAUUUCCCCUGGCUUGAAACUGUUUAAAGUGGAUUUGUGUUUAAUGGGGUAUUUGAUUUUAUUUAGUUAUUGUUUUAAUUAAAUUUUAAUUUUCAGUUAAACACCUAGGUUUUAAACGGUACAAUGCCACGUAAUAUGGAUUUGCUGAUUGGGCACUUGGGCUAGCCAGCCACAUAAGCAGAAAACGGGGUCAGUUAGACGGGGGAGUGUAUUUGCUAACGGACCAGUGGUUUAGGUAGUAUUACCACCAAAAUUUUAGAUUUAGGGGUUAUGUGCAAAAACCUCUCUACUUUAGGGGGUUUUGCCGCAAAUAACCCAUAGAAUAAUUUAAUUACUAUGAGAUAAAUGUAACAAAUUUAUAAUAAAUAAAAUGACAUUUAUUAUUAAAGUAGAGGCUGCUUAGCACUCUUCUUUAUAUCAGUAAUCGAAUUUAUAUCAUGAUUUAGUAAUAAUAAUUAAAGGUGUGUAUAAAUGUUUCCCUUGAACCAAAUUAACCAAAUUACAAUAAUAGAAUUUGACUAAUUCAAAUUAAAUUUUAAUUCAAUACAAUAAUUUUCUAAAAUUUGGACCAAUUAAGUAUUAAUGAGUUUUUAAAAGGAGGAAAUUAUACUCUAUACCCUUUUUAUAAUGUCCUCUUUUAUUUUUACCCUCUUUUUUAAAGUCUAUCAUUUUUACUUCUUUUUUUAAACAUUGUACCAAUUUUGCCCAUGUCACUUCAAGAUACUCUCCAUGUGACUCUCUUAUGUCAGGGUAUUUUGGGUACAAUACAUAUAAAAAGAGGUAUAUUUCAAAUAAAUAUAAAACUAGAGGUAAAUUUGAUUAAUUGUUUAAUAAAAAGAUAUUUUUCAACUUACCCCUUUUAAAAGGGUCUAUUAAAGAAUUUUCCAAUAAUAAAUAACCCAAUAGUAACUGUAAAUGUAAUUGGCCCCCAAACCAAAAGCAGAAGAGGAGAAGAAGACAUACCCACUCUCAUCCCUUCCCUGAAUCGAAUCUCAUCAUCUCCUCCGGCGAGUUCUCAUCCCUGCGGCCGGCUCAGUCCGGCGAGGCACUGCUGCCUCCUCUCUAACAUCCAGUCCCGUACUCCUCCUCGUGUGUCUUAGUAACGCAGGCCUGAUGGCUCCUUUCAAAGGCAAAGCAAAGAUGUCCAAGCGUGAUGAGGGAAAAGACGAAAGAAUAGACCUCAAGAAUAUUAUGAAAGAUAUUGAGCUUUUGGGUUACUCGCAUAUGACAUGGAAGGAGAAGAAGGAAUUUGAGAAUAGGAAGGUGGUUUCCCUUGGGGAAAGCCUUCAAAACAACAGAGAAUAGAGAUUACCUCUUAGUGUAGCAAAACCGAAGAUGAAAAAACAGAAGGAAAGAGAACAGAAAAUGCUUCAAGAGAGGUUGAUUCUCGGUCGAUUUGGUGGGAAAAGAUCCGAUGUGAAGCGUCGUCGGCCAGAGGACAGAGUUCUGAAGUCAAGUCAAGGUGUUUUUAGAAAAGGUGUACUUGAUGUGAAGCAUUUGCUGAGUCAUAAUCCAUCCAGAGCGACUGAACCUUCCACUCAGAUGUUCAACAAAGGAAGAAAGACUGGAAAUGGAAACAACAAAGGGAAGAGUGGUGGUAUGAAAAUGUUGAAAUUUAAUUUAUAAGUAAAAAAAAAAGCCAGAAUAAUUCUUGUUUAUGCAUGACAAAAUUAUAUUAGUUUUUAAUUUGCCUUUUUAUAGCUUUAGAGGGAUCCGUAUUCUCUCUCAGAAAGAGAAAUCAGUAUUUUUUUUCUUCGUAACUUAAAUGGGAAGUAUUGGUAUUCAUCCAUUCAAUCCGCACUUUUUUGGUCAAAUAACAUCCAUACUAACUGCACAUUUCAUAAUAGUUUCAAUUUUGAGUUCCUUACUAUUAGAAAUUACACCUAAUAUGGUAUUUUAAAAUAUUUUUACAUAAAUAUGGCAAUUUUAAGUUUGGCCAUUUUGUAUGGCAUUUUUUUAUUUUCAAACUUAUAUAUGGUAUAUAUUAUGCCAUAUUUAUGUUAUUAUUAGUUUUGAAUACCAUAUUAAUAUGCUUUUGUAUUUUUUCUAAGUCAAACCCUAAUUCUUUCAAAGUUGUUUAUCUCUUAGCUGCUGCCUCUCUCUUUCUUCUCUUUCUUCAGUGGCCGAUUUUUGCUCCGAUUAUUGUUAGCUUCGGUAGUUGAAGAUAGCUCCAGCGACCAAUAGAUUCUCGCCCAACCGCUAUUAGCUCCGGUGAAUGCUUGUAUCUCGUCUAGACAUUUCCAAUCGGCAACAUCGAAUUUACCGUCGGAACUGUCGGAGGAUCUAUGGUAGAGGUUGCCAAAGUCGUGGAAGGAGCAGUCAUAUUUGUUCUCCUACUCCAGACAAAUGUAGGAGAAAAGGUUCUUCUUUUUGAAAGAACUAGGGGAAAAAAAAGGAAAAAAAAGGAAAAAAAAGAUUUCCUUAAUGUUUACAAUGUAAAAAUUAACUUGGUCAUGAGUAUGAUUGUGGUUUAUCUUUGGUGUUCUAAUUAUUUGA